rfam:Plasmodium knowlesi strain H chromosome 8, complete genome
AAAAAACAUAAUAGAAGGGCGAAUCCGCCGAAUUUAAGCAUAUAAUUAAGCGGAAGAAAAGAAAAUAACAAUGAUUCCUUUAGUAACGGCGAGUGAACAAGGAGUAGCUCAAAAGUGGAAUCCCAAAGUUUGUGCAAGCUUACUCUGGGAAUUGUCAUGUUGAGUACUAUUCCAAAUGAAUGAUUUAGUAUUUUUUAAGCGAAGCGAGGUGGAAUGCCUCCCCCAAAGAGGGUGAAAGGCCCGUAGUUUUAAUUACUUGCCAUUUUCUUGGAAUUUUACUUGAAGAGUCGUGUUCUUUGAGAUUGGAGCACAAAUGCAUGUGGAUACAUUUCACAUAAAGCUAAAUAUGUGUAGGAGACCGAUAGCAAACAAGUACCGUGAGGGAAAGAUGAAAUAGUACUCAGGAAUGAGCCAUUAAAUAGUACCUGAAAUCGUUAAGAUGGAACGGAUUAAGGGAGAAAGUAUAGUUAAGUGAGGAAAUGGAUUCUUCGGAAUUUAUUUUUUUUUUUUUGCUUUAUUAUAAAAAGGAUUAUCAGUGAAUUGGGAUAGCAGAAACGAAAUCAUUAUAUGUUUUUUGUAUAUAUGAGGACAGACACGCAUAAGGUUUGUGAUUGUUCUGUGCCUUAAAAUUGUUGUCUUCUAGAUUUUCUAAUUUAGGCCAAGGCAACAUAACGGUUUGCUUGAUUUUCCUACCAGGAAAGUCACAUAUCCUAUUUACUGAGGAAAUGUAUAAAUAGUAAAAGAGUAAGUAUUUUAGCUUUCUUUUACCUUUUACGAUAAUCCUAACAAUUUUUUGUGAACUUCCUUAACCCACCCGUUUAGAGACACGGACCAAGGAGUCUACCAAAUAUGCAAGUGUGCAUGACACAUUAAACAUUAAUAUAUACGUCCCCGACGUAAUUUUUAUUUGUACGCAUAAUUAAUAUAAUAUGUUAAGUUUUGUAGAACCGGCGGAAAAGUUUUUCUUUUUUGUGGGCGCAUACAAUACCAGUAGACAAUUAUUAUUGCCAUAUUGAGUAAGAGCAUAUUUAGUAGGACCCGAAAGGCUUUGAACUAAGUGUGGUGAGACUGAAGUCAGACGAAAGUCUGAUGGAGGGUCGAAUUGACACCGAUGUAAAAAUCGUUCAUUUCAACUGCAUUUAGGGGUGAAGAAUCAUACGAAAAGCCUAAUAGCUGGUUAUUUUCGAAGGAUCUCUCAGGAUCGCUGGAGUUUGUAGCAAUACGCAGUUAUUCAAAUGGGAAGGUGAGUAUUUUGUUCUCGAUUGUAUGCAAAGGCGUCGUACAAGAGUGUUACAAUAUAUAUACUUUUGGCAUGAGAGCCAAUGGAUCAUACCCGGUUGCGGUGGUGUUAUUCCGUUUGCAGGGUUUUACUUUGCUUGCGGGGUAAUGCUUUGAUUGCUGGGAUGACUUCUCUCUCGAUUUUCCGAAAUGUACUAUAAGGGAAAUGUGAACGUAGUUUAAAGAUUAAUACUAUGUUGUACGUCAUUCCAAUAUUUUGGCGCCUUCCAUGAAUUUUAAUGCUAACUCCAAGUGGACCAUUUCCGGUGAGAGGAAAUGGCUAUGAGGGUUCAACCUAACGCCUGGAUAAGGUGCCUAAAUGUUCGCUAAUUAGAUCCGAUAAAAAAGAGGUGUUGGUUUGUAAUGACAGCAGGACGGUGCUCAUAGAAGUUGGGAUCCGCUAAGGAGUGUGUUCCAACUCACCUGCCUAAUGAACUUGCCCUGAAAAUGGAUGGCGCUAAAACGAAUUACCGAUACCGGGCCAUAGAAGGGUAAGAAUGUAAUAUAUUCAUUUUGCUGAUCCUUCUAUGAGUAGAAAAUCGUGGGGUUUUGUUUAGAAGCGAAAUACGUGAGUUUUCGUGGAACAUCUCCCUAGUGCAGAUCUUGGUGGAAGUAGCAAAUAUUCAAAUGAGAACUUUGAAGACUGAAGUGGAGAAGGGUUUUUUGUCAACUGUGUUUGUACAAAAGUUAGCCGCUCCUAAGAGGCAACCGAAAGGUUUUAAAAUGGCUGGGAAAAGGGAUUGCAGAGUGUAUGCAUAUAUAUAUAUAUAUAUGUACAUACAUUGUAUGUGGUUCUGGUCUCCUGCGCCGACUCGAAAGGGAAACAGGUUAACAUUCCUGUGCCAUACGAAUGGUAUAUAAAAAAAACAGAAAGGUGGUAACACAAAUAGCAAAUGAACUCCUUAACAUAGGCCUUACAUUCGAGUUGCGUUAUCUUUGCAAUUAACUUUCCGGCAAACCUUGGAAUCAAUUUACUUGGAGAAGAGGUUCGCUGAAUCAAUUCAGGCAAAUUUCCCGCCGUUUUUUAUAAUCUCGGUUAUAUUUUUGGCGGCGAAAUUUCCUGUUUUGUAGUAAUAGUAAUUCGUUUUUAUGAAUUAUUCGAAAGCGUAAGGACUAUCCUUGAAAAAAGGAGGGAACAAGUAAAUUUUGAAAAUAUGGGCGAAAUUCCUGUUCCAGCGGGGAAUUAUCUCAUUAUUUUCAUAUAUGCUGAAUACCAUUUGUUGUGCGUACCGAAUAACCGCAUCAGGUCUCCAAGGUUAGCAGCCUCUGGUUAAAUAGAACAAUGUAAGUAAGGGAAGUAAGACAAAUUGGAUCCGUAACUUCGGGAAAAGGAUUGGCUCUGAGGACAUUAGAAUAGAGAAGAAAAAGGAAAUUGUUGAAAGGGAAGGGUAUAGGGGGAUAUAGUAGAAACUCUUCUAUGGUAUCCCUUUACUUUGUUUUUCUUCAAUUUUCUUUUUCUCUCCCUCUAUUCGCCUUCCUUUAAAAGAAGGGCGGCGUCUCUCGGCGUUCGCCCCUUUUUUUUUUUUUGGAUACUAAUAAUGUUAACUCAGAACUGAAACGGACAAGAGGAAUUUGACUGUUUAUGACAUAGCACUGUGAGCGCCCUCAGAGAGUAGGUAUAUUUACGUGUAUGCGUAUAUUGUAUAGAUGUUUAUUUAUACGUACUCUUUUGGAGCACAGUUGACGCAGUGUGAUAUCUGCCCAGUGCUUUUGAAUAACUAGAUUAGCUGUAAUUCAAUAGAUGCACAGGUAAAUGGCAGAAGUAGUUGCUACAGCUUCUAAAAUUAGCCAAGUAUUUCGUCAUUAUGCGUGUGCCCUCUUGAUUCUUACCAGGGGGUGGUUAUAUAGUACUAUUAUGCAUAUAGUGUGUGUGAACCAGGUGUUCUAUCUGGAUUUACAUAUGCCUUAUGUCGUAAUAUAUUAUUCCCUAUGGUUUGAGAUUGACGAUGUGGCGCUUUAAUUAGUGAAGAUGACUUAGAGCAGAUAAACAAAUUUCCUGCUGUCCCUACUUGCAAUCUAGCGAAACCACAACCAAGGAAAAACAGGCUUGGUUAAAUCAGUUGGGUCAUAGGAGACCCUAUUGAACUCGACUCCAGGUAGGCUCUGUAAAACGACUUCCGAUUGUGUAGCAUAAGUGGGAGAGGAAUUCUGAAAAAUGUUUCCUCGCAAGUGAAAUACCACUCCAUCCAAAGUCCUUUUACUUAUCCUUUAGUGUGGGGAUCAAAAGAGCACACAUAUGUACGCAUGUACGUAUGUAUAUUUGUUCUUCCCCUUAAUAGCAUUUAUAUGGAGACACAGCCUAGUGGGGAGUUAAUUUUACAGCGCCGCUAUAUUUUCCUUUUCAUCUUUUAUUUCGAUAAAGGAUGGAAGUGUAAAUGUACUAAUGGAAUUAACAGACUCAAAGAGAACAGAAAUCUCUUGUGGACUUUGCAAUAUAAGAAAUGUCUGUUAAGAUAGUACUCCUCUUCCUAUUAGGUGGGGGGAGUUGUAUGGCCUGUAAUUUAUCACCUCCUUAUUCCUGCGAAAGCAUUAUGGGUACGGACAUAUACGGGUGUGUGUAUAUACGUGUGAAAAUGCGUAUUAUAUAUCCCCGUAUAUUAUCCUUCCCUAAAGUGUGCAAAUAAGGGGCGAUAGAAAAAGGGUUAUGAUAGGGAUAACUUUCUUGCGGCCGCCGAGCGACUUUUAGCGACGUAGCUUUUUGAUCAUUUUGUAAAUUAUCAGCAUUUCCUAUCAUUGGGAUGAAGAAAUCCCAAAGUGUCGGAUUGUUCAACCGCUAACAGGGAACGUGAGCUGAGUUUUUUGGGCAGUCAUGAGACUUGCCUAGUUUUUAACCUACUGAUGAAAAUUGUUAAUUUAAUAACGCAUUGAUAAUGUGACAGUAAUCCAACUUGGUACGAGAGGAUCAGUUGGUUCAGACAUUUGGUAUAGGGAUUGGUUGACAAAGCCAGAGUUCCGAAGCUACGUCUGUUGGAUGAUAAUGGCUGAAUACAUCUCAAGCCAGAAUCCAUGCUGAAUAAACAUUACUGUAAGGGUGUUCUGCAUAAUUUGGCUUUUCAAAUGUUCUGCUUUAUAAGCAAACUGGAAAAAGAAUAUAUAUACAGUUCCUUACAUUUGUAAGAUCAACAGUAUAUUAGCAACCCAUCUGCCAAAGUAUUCCUCAAAGUUUGAACAAGGGGAGGGGGUUGCAUUGUGUUCACAGUGAUAGUAAGUUAGCUAUGGUAGAAGCAGCUAUGUUCUAUUUUUUCCAAACUGUAGAGUGACAUUAAGUUUCCUUUUGCAGUAUGGUAGAAUGAGCGGUUUGUGGUUGAGCUCAUACUCCUCUGUAUUACUUUUUAAAAGUAUGCAGUCGAGGGGGUGAAAACACCGGGUUGCCCUUUUUUCCAUUUUUCAGCUGCUUGAGCCUAGGAUGCUAUGUAUCCUCUUUUCCUUGUGAUAACUGGGAAGAAUAUUUUUCACCGUAAUUUUUAUAAUGCAGAAUGCAAUUAAAAAAUGCUUGUAGACGACUCGAGAUGCCCCUGGUGCUGUAAACAUGAAAGUAAACUUUGUUUUACGAUCUGUUGAGGCUUAUCCAUCGGUACUCAUUUUUU